rnacentral:rRNA from 1 species
ACGAACGCUGGCGGCGUGCUUAACCCAUGCCAGUCGAACGGAAAGGCCCUGCUUUUGUGGGGUGCUCGAGUGGCGAACGGGUGAGUAACACGUGAGUAACCUGCCCUUGACUUUGGGAUAACUUCAGGAAACUGGGGCUGAUACCGGAUAGGAGCUCCUGCUGCAUGGUGGGGGUUGGAAAGUUUCGGCGGUUGGGGAUGGACUCGCGGCUUAUCAGCUUGUUGGUGGGGUAGUGGCUUACCAAGGCUUUGACGGGUAGCCGGCCUGAGAGGGUGACCGGCCACAUUGGGACUGAGAUACGGCCCAGACUCCUACGGGAGGCAGCAGUGGGGAAUAUUGCACAAUGGGCGGAAGCCUGAUGCAGCAACGCCGCGUGCGGGAUGACGGCCUUCGGGUUGUAAACCGCUUUCGCCUGUGACGAAGCGUGAGUGACGGUAAUGGGUAAAGAAGCACCGGCUAACUACGUG